GCCGUGGAUUUCUUGUGACGAUUUGAUGAUUCUGGAGACAGCAAUACAGUGGAGACAGACUCUGAGGCAAUUGGUCUCCUAUUUGAACUGUAACCACCUCUGUAUCUCAUCCUUUUCUUCUAGACAGAAAAUGGACAGAAAUUAAUUGCACGAGGUGAGUACAGUUGAUGCUUAAUUUGUUCAACAUGCAAUUGUCCUGUCCAGAAUCAUCAGAUUGCUAUAAGACAUACAUGGC